rnacentral:rRNA from 1 species
CGUCAUAGAGGGUGAGAAUCCCGUCUUUGACACGGACUACCAGUGCUUUGUGAUGCGCUCUCAAAGAGUCGAGUUGUUUGGGAAUGCAGCUCAAAAUGGGUGGUGAAUUCCAUCUAAAGCUAAAUAUUGGCGAGAGACCGAUAGCGAACAAGUACCGUGAGGGAAAGAUGAAAAGCACUUUGGAAAGAGAGUUAAACAGUACGUGAAAUUGCUGAAAGGGAAACGCUUGAAGUCAGUCGCGUCGUCCGGAACUCAGCCUUGCUUUCGCUUGGUGCACUUUCCGGAUGACGGGUCAGCAUCGAUUUUGACCGUCGGAAAAGGGCUAGAGUAAUGUGGCACCUCCGGGUGUGUUAUAGACUCUGGUCGCAUACGGCGGUUGGGAUCGAGGAACGCAGCGCGCCGCAAGGCAGGGGUUCGCCCACUUUCGCGCUUAGGAUGCUGGCAUAAUGGCUUUAAACGACCCGUCUUGAAACACGGACCAAGGAGUCUAACAUACCUGCAAGUGUUUGGGUGGAAAACCCGAGCGCGUAAUGAAAGUGAAAGUUGAGAUCCCUGUCGUGGGGAGCACCGACGCCCGGACCUGACGUUCUCUGACGGAUCCGCGGUAGAGCAUGUAUGUUGGGACCCGAAAGAUGGUGAACUAUGCCUGAAUAGGGUGAAGCCAGAGGAAACUCUGGUGGAGGCUCGUAGCGAUUCUGACGUGCAAAUCGAUCGUCAAAUUUGGGUAUAGGGGCGAAAGACUAAUCGAACCAUCUAGUAGCUGGUUCCU